AUUGAACGCUGGCGGCAGGCUUAACACAUGCAAGUCGAGCGGGGUGAUGGUGCUUGCACUAUCACUUAGCGGCGGACGGGUGAGUAAUGCUUAGGAAUCUGCCUAUUAGUGGGGGACAACAUCUCGAAAGGGAUGCUAAUACCGCAUACGUCCUACGGGAGAAAGCAGGGGAUCACUUGUGACCUUGCGCUUAUAGAUGAGCCUAAGUCGGAUUAGCUAGUUGGUGGGGUAAAGGCCUAUCAAGGCGACGAUCUGUAGCGGGUCUGAGAGGAUGAUCCGCCACACUGGGACUGAGACACGGCCCAGACUCCUACGGGAGGCAGCAGUGGGGAAUAUUGGACAAUGGGGGGAACCCUGAUCCAGCCAUGCCGCGUGUGUGAAGAAGGCCUUAUGGUUGUAAAGCACUUUAAGCGAGGAGGAGGCUCUUUUGGUUAAUACCCAAGAUGAGUGGACGUUACUCGCAGAAUAAGCACCGGCUAACUCCGUGCCAGCCGCCGCUGUAA
rnacentral:rRNA from 1 species